rnacentral:rRNA from 1 species
AGUAACGCGUGAGGAACCUGCCUCAAAGAGGGGGACAACAGUUGGAAACGACUGCUAAUACCGCAUAAGCCCACGGCUCGGCAUCGAGCAGAGGGAAAAGGAGUGAUCCGCUUUGAGAUGGCCUCGCGUCCGAUUAGCUAGUUGGUGAGGUAACGGCCCACCAAGGCGACGAUCGGUAGCCGGACUGAGAGGUUGAUCGGCCACAUUGGGACUGAGACACGGCCCAG